CUUUCUUCAGAGUUGUCCCUUCUGCUGAAUGGAAUACAAUAUCAUUCCUCACAGGUGAAAGAGCUGUGUAUAUGACAGAGGAAUGCUCUCACCCCUCCAUGAAGCACACCUCUGUUUUCUACACAACAAUUUCACCUGCAUCUCACCUCAGCCAACUCCUCACAGGGUAUGGAUCCAAUUAUUUCCUCUUUCUUAUUAUAGGGCAGCAUAGCAGCUUGUUUCCUAGGAAGCAGAACUCAGUAAAAUGAUGCAAAAGCAAACUGUCCUUAGAAUAUAGAUAAAAGGUAUUAUUCUCAAAGGGAGUGUAGAUAACAAGUGCUGUUCUCUGACUGUGGAACUACCUUGUGUUUGUAGGAAAAGAACAAACCUGCCAGCAUUGUAGUUGUGAUCUGUCUGUCUGCGAUGGGGGCAAGGAUCCUGUAGCUCUCCACAGGUUGAAUGAUCCUGGGCCACUAGUCAUACUUGUUGGGGUGAUGGAAUCCAGCAACAUCUGGAGGACCUCAGGUACCUCAUUCCUGGC